UGGAGGGCCAGUGGCUCAGCGGCAGAGCAUCAGUUUGCCAUGCGAGAGGUCGUCGGUUCAAUCCCUGGCCUCUCCAG
rnacentral:tRNA from 1 species